rnacentral:lncRNA from 1 species
UGUGGCCCCAGCGUGCUGUGGCCUCCGGGAGUGGGAAGUGGAGGCAGGAGCCUUCCUUACACUUCGCCAUGAGUUUCCUGAUCGACUCCAGCAUCAUGAUUACCUCCCAGGACGGGAGGCCAAGGGGCUGGGAUGGCAGGUGCCGUGAACAGCGAGCGCCCAGAGUUGGCCAAAAGCACAGCGGAGGUGCAAAUCCAGCUGUGACCUGCAUUGUCUCCACUAACGACAGCGUCCUUAACCCGGACAGUGACCCAGCAAGUGGCAGCCCACGCUCGCCGGCCGGGUCCAAGUUUUAAGUAAAGAAGCCAUUUGUUCCCAGGCUCAUUUUUAUCAAGGCUCGUCUGUCUUUCCAAAUUAGGGCUGAGUCAUUUAUAAAGCAUGUGAGUGUUUGGAUGUUAGCAGCAAACAUUCAUCCAUUUUAGAAUAAAUGAUUAAAAGGCACUCAUUAAAUUCCUCUGUUGACUGAUGCCAAGGCCCCGAGAACGGAUUGGCCUGUUGGCUUCUGGCUGGCCUGACUGCCAUCCCACCUACUGAGAACUCUCGUAGACUCUGGAGAGAAAAUUCCUGCUCGAGGGGACACCCUGAUGGAAGAUAACAGGAAGGAUGGCACUCAGGCCUGUUCCCCCAAUAUUACAGCACAGUUAUCUACCUUCAGAGUGGCCGCACCCAACAGACUCUUGGUGAGUGGGAGGACAACCCCUUCUCCCCUCCAAAGAUCUAGGGACAAUGUGUGCCAUUCCUUCCCAUGGGCAUGGGGAAUGUUUAACUCAAAAGUCAAGGGAAUAAUUCCAUAAUGACUGAAAACUAAGUAUUUCCAGUCCUGAUAAGAAUGGCGCUCUGUGCCCACUCCAGGAAUACAAGAAUUGGCAAGACUCUCCUGUGGCCCCUGCCCUGGAAGGUAGAAGGUAAAAGAUCAUACACAGACAGGUAAACCAACUCCCGAACAGAACUGGGAGCCUCGGACCACAGGCUCUGACCCUUUGCUGGCCAGCAGGUGCAGAGGGAAGGAGCUUCUGCUGUCCUUGCCCCCAGCAAAUGUCCAUCCUCACCACAAGGGAACAAACCAUGCCCAAUGCCUCGUUGGGGGCACUGGCGCCCCUUGAAUGUAUCCUCUCUAGGAUCCUUGGCCCCACCCACCUGUUUGCCAUCUCCAAAGGUCCUUUCUUAAUGUCUUUAAUUUGGAUGGCUCUGACAGCUCCCCACGGCUGGCCUGAGAAAAUCGCACACUCCUCUGCAUGCCAUUUAUCAGGUCACAGCGUGAGUUUCCCGGGCCCUCCUUCCACUAAAAAAACAUUAAAACAUAUAUAUUACAAUGGCAUUGGUAAACAGGAACCUAUUGAUUUAUAUACUGAAAACAUUUUUCCUCAACCUAAAAGUUCAUGUAUUUCGUUUUGAUUUUAAAAGCAAUUAAAACAUUUCGUGAGUCCUGAAAUCACUGUGGGCCCGAGGCACUGAGCCACCAUACCCGAUACUGAAGGGGGUCUAGGUCAGUCCUCUCUGCAGCCGUCCAGCCGCAGGUUCCCCCUGGGAGCUGCCCUUCCAGGCCUCCCUGCCUGUGCUGCUGCUGCUGCUGCUGCUGCUGCUCCUGCUCCUGCUCCUGCUCCUGCUCCUGCACCCUCAAUGCUGCCUCAUCCUUCUCUGCCACGAAACGUCCUACAAAGGUGUUAAGCCCUGGACCUAGUGUGAUGCUCCCAGGCCCUGGAGGCAGCAUCUGUGCAUCUUCUUUGCCCUCUGCCACCACUCUGACCCCCUGCAAGCCCAGACAGACAACGGUGUCUUCCUGACCAGGUGACAGGAUCCUGCAUUCAUCCC